GGAAUGCAAGAAAUGUGAGUCUGAGCACUGAAAUCUUGAACAUUUGAAUGUAUCCAAACACUGUUUUUAGAAGCUGAUAUAUUGAUCUCAAGAAACUGGUAAUGGCCAAAGUUGUGGAAUUUGGUGAAAAAGGAAUUCUUUGACUGCAAUACAGAAUCUAUUAUAUAGAAGGGAAACUCAAACAAACAGUGAUCAGUGGGCCCUUCCUUACAGAGGCUGCAGAUUUAGAAUGGAUGUUUUUUAAAAAAAUAUAUAUGAAAAGGUAAUAUUAAUAUGGAGAAAUCUAACAAACAACAGACUUUUAGAUUUAUCUAAACAGAAUUUAGAAGCUGAUAUAUUGAUUUCCACAAACUAACUUCAAAUUCCCCUCCCCUAACUUAAUAAUUUUUUAGUUUUGGUGGAUUUCAAUUGUAAUUCAAAUAAAACAAACAAACAAACACCCAGCUGUGUAGACCCAGCAGGACUCUUUAGAAAAACGAAGCCCAUUGGCACUGCCCAAAAAAGGAAGAGAUUGUUUUUCCCUCUCCUCUUCAAUGCUUUCUUCUUUCUUUCUUUCUUUCUUUCUUUCUUUCUUUCUUUCUUUCUUUCUUCUCUCUCUCUCUCUCACUCUCAAUAUCCUCUUCCCAGUAUCUCUCCCAAUAUCUCUCACUCUCUUCCAAUAUCCUCCCUUCCUUCUCCCUUCUUCUCCCACCGAGUGCAGCACAGCACCCAGCAGCAAGUGCUAAACUUACAUAUGACUUUUGAGGAGUUCUACAUCAAACACACCUGUCUAAUGAUUACUACAAAAUCAGCAUGCAGAACAGCUAAAAUGUUUCUAGCUUGAGAAGAAGCCUCACUGUUGUGUAGAGGAUUCUCUUUUAGUUCUUUUAGUUAGUGUUCUCACCACCACACUGUACAGUUCAACAAAAUGUAAAAGGGCACCAUGUCACACAACCCUGUGGGUUCCACAUAGUAGCAACAGGUUUUUGCCCUUGAUUCUGCUCAGGGCCAGAGAGGGAGAAGGUGUAGCUGGCAGACCUAGUGCCACCACCUCACUACCUUCAUUGACACCAGGGACUCUGAGCAGCACUGCCAGUGGAGAGGGGUUCUUUGCCAGGACCUUGGCAAAGAUAGUUGAUCCAGAGUAUGCCCAGCCAUGCAGGACAAACUCAGCAGAGGUGUCUGUCAACCAGUACCUGGAGGAGCCAGUGGAGAGUCUGUUCUGUGACCUAUUGGCCUACUGGGUAUCCAGGACUAGAUGUGGCAGGAUCUGGUGACAGUUGUCCAUUAACACCUCACCUGUCCACCAAUGAGUGUGCUGAGUGAAAG
rnacentral:lncRNA from 11 species